rnacentral:rRNA from 1 species
AGCCGCGGUAAUUCCAGCUCCAAUAGCGUAUAUUAAAGUUGUUGUGGUUAAAAAGCUCGUAGUUGAACCUUGGGCCUGGCUGGCCGGUCCGCCUCACCGCGUGUACUGGUCCGGCCGGGCCUUUCCCUCUGUGGAACCCCAUGCCCUUCACUGGGUGUGGCGGGGAAACAGGACUUUUACUGUGAAAAAAUUAGAGUGCUCCAGGCAGGCCUAUGCUCGAAUACAUUAGCAUGGAAUAAUAGAAUAGGACGUGUGGUUCUAUUUUGUUGGUUUCUAGGACCGCCGUAAUGAUUAAUAGGGACAGUCGGGGGCAUCAGUAUUCAAUUGUCAGAGGUGAAAUUCUUGGAUUUAUUGAAGACUAACUACUGCGAAAGCAUUUGCCAAGGAUGUUUUCAUUAAUCAGGAACGAAAGUUAGGGGAUC